GAUGAACGCUGGCGGCGUGCCUAAUACAUGCAAGUCGAGCGAACAGACGAGGAGCUUGCUCCUCUGACGUUAGCGGCGGACGGGUGAGUAACACGUGGAUAACCUACCUAUAAGACUGGGAUAACUUCGGGAAACCGGAGCUAAUACCGGAUAAUAUAUUGAACCGCAUGGUUCAAUAGUGAAAGACGGUUUUGCUGUCACUUUUAGAUGGAUCCGCGCCGCAUUAGCGAGUUGGUAAGGUAACGGCUUACCAAGGCAACGAUGCGUAGCCGACCUGAGAGGGUGAUCGGCCACACUGGAACUGAGACACGGUCCAGACUCCUACGGGAGGCAGCAGUAGGGAAUCUUCCGCAAUGGGCGAAAGCCUGACGGAGCAACGCCGCGUGAGUGAUGAAGGUCUUCGGAUCGUAAAACUCUGUUAUUAGGGAAGAACAAAUGUGUAAGUAACUAUGCACGUCUUGACGGUACCUAAUCAGAAAGCCACGGCUAACUACGUG
rnacentral:rRNA from 1 species